UACAGAGGGGGCUAGCGUUGUUCGGAAUUACUGGGCGUAAAGCGCACGUAGGCGGAAUGUUAAGUCAGGGGUGAAAUCCCGGGGCUCAACCCCGGAACUGCCUUUGAUACUGGCAUUCUCGAGUCCGGAAGAGGUGAGUGGAAUUCCGAGUGUAGAGGUGAAAUUCGUAGAUAUUCGGAGGAACACCAGUGGCGAAGGCGGCUCACUGGUCCGGUACUGACGCUGAGGUGCGAAAGCGUGGGGAGCAAACAGG
rnacentral:rRNA from 1 species